rnacentral:rRNA from 1 species
UACAGAGGUCCCGAGCGUUGUCCGGAAUCACUGGGCGUAAAGGGCGCGUAGGCGGCGCGGGGAGUCAACGGUGAAAGCUCGGCGCUCAACGCCGAGUCGGCCGUCGAUACUCCCGUGCUCGAGCACUGUAGAGGCAGGUGGAAUUCCGGGUGUAGCGGUGGAAUGCGUAGAGAUCCGGAAGGACGACCGGUGGCGCAAGGCGGCCUGAGCUGGGCCAGUAGCUGGCGCUGAGGCGCGACAGCGUGGGGAG